rnacentral:rRNA from 1 species
UACGUAGGGUGCGAGCGUUAAUCGGAAUUACUGGGCGUAAAGAGCUCGUAGGCGGCUCGUUGCGUCGGCUGUGAAAACCCGCAGCUCAACUGUGGGCUUGCAGCUGAUACGGGCGGGCUGGAGUUCGGUAGGGGAGACUGGAAUUCCUGGUGUAGCGGUGAAAUGCGCAGAUAUCAGGAGGAACACCGGUGGCGAAGGCGGGUCUCUGGGCCGAUACUGACACUGAGGAGCGAAAGCGUGGGGAGCGAACAGG